UACGUAGGGUGCGAGCGUUAAUCGGAAUUACUGGGCGUAAAGCGUGCGCAGGCGGCUUUGCAAGACAGAUGUGAAAUCCCCGGGCUUAACCUGGGAACUGCAUUGGUGACUGCAUUGCUCGAGUAUGGCAGAGGGGGGUGGAAUUCCACGUGUAGCAGUGAAAUGCGUAGAGAUGUGGAGGAACACCGAUGGCGAAGGCAGCCCCCUGGGCCAAUACUGACGCUCAUGCACGAAAGCGUGGGGAGCAAACAGG
rnacentral:rRNA from 1 species